ensembl:lncRNA
UCACCAGAGAGCCCACCGUCACUUUCAUUAUCGUUAGCUAACAUUUACUAAAGCUGCGCACUUUGGCUCCUUUAGCCAUGACUGACUGACUUUCUGACCUCUGGUCAUGAUGCUAACGAGCUCAGCUAACUAACGUUAGCUUGAAUGCUGACAUGGAAAUGGGGAAUUUCCCUGGUUUAACUUUUAAGAACGUUUCACAACUUGUGUGCAAGCGUUAUUUAACAGAGAGUUAUGUUAUACACUACAACAAAAAACAGUUACUUACCAAAUAACGAAUUUUCACCCGAGCCAGACAAAAUGAUGUUGCGUCUCGCUCCGUUCCUCACGGCAGUCCGGCCACGACCACCUGCAGAGGACGUGUGUCUCGCGCCCCCCCCAUCCGCGGUUGUCGUCUCGCGCCGCGUCGUCAGCGUUAUUAUUGCGCAAGUGUUCUGGUGUGAGUGUUUUUUUGUGAAGGAGGAGAUGGAAGGAGAG